rnacentral:rRNA from 1 species
GUCACUGACGCUGAGGAGCGAUAGCGUGGUGAGCGCACAGCACUAGAUACCAUGGUAGUCCACGCAGUACACGAUGAGUGCUCAGCGUUAGGGGGUUUCCGCCCCUUAGUGCUGCAGCUAACGCAUUAAGCACUCCGCCUGGGGAGUACGGUCGCAAGACUGAAACUCAAAGGAAUUGACGGGGGCCCGCACAAGCGGUGGAGCAUGUGGUUUAAUUCGAAGCAACGCGAAGAACCUUACCAGGUCUUGACAUCCUCUGACAACCCUAGAGAUAGGGCUUUCCCUUCGGGGACAGAGUGACAGGUGGUGCAUGGUUGUCGUCAGCUCGUGUCGUGAGAUGUUGGGUUAAGUCCCGCAACGAGCGCAACCCUUGAUCUUAGGUUGCCAGCAUUCAGUUGGGCACUCUAAGGUGACUGCCGGUGACAAACCGGAGGAAGGUGGGGAUGACGUCAAAUCAUCAUGCCCCUUAUGACCUGGGCUACACACGUGCUACAAUGGACAGAACAAAGGGCUGCGAGACCGCAAGGUUUAGCCAAUCCCACAAAUCUGUUCUCAGUUCGGAUCGCAGUCUGCAACUCGACUGCGUGAAGCUGGAAUCGC